CGAUUGGAUAAACACGAGCAAUCGUGUGAAACUCGUCUGUAAUCCCGGCAUCACCUUCCAGUGACGGCGACUUUUUUCAAAUGCUGCGCGUUGCAGCACUAUC
ncrna:unclassified sequences DTF3577 RNA